AGAGUUUGAUCCUGGCUCAGGAUGAACGCUAGCUACAGGCUUAACACAUGCAAGUCGAGGGGCAGCAUGGUCUUAGCUUGCUAAGGCCGAUGGCGACCGGCGCACGGGUGAGUAACACGUAUCCAACCUGCCGUCUACUCUUGGACAGCCUUCUGAAAGGAAGAUUAAUACAAGAUGGCAUCAUGAGUCCGCAUGUUCACAUGAUUAAAGGUAUUCCGGUAGACGAUGGGGAUGCGUUCCAUUAGAUAGUAGGCGGGGUAACGGCCCACCUAGUCUUCGAUGGAUAGGGGUUCUGAGAGGAAGGUCCCCCACAUUGGAACUGAGACACGGUCCAAACUCCUACGGGAGGCAGCAGUGAGGAAUAUUGGUCAAUGGGCGAGAGCCUGAACCAGCCAAGUAGCGUGAAGGAUGACUGCCCUAUGGGUUGUAAACUUCUUUUAUAAAGGAAUAAAGUCGGGUAUGGAUACCCGUUUGCAUGUACUUUAUGAAUAAGGAUCGGCUAACUCCGUGCCAGCAGCCGCGGUAAUACGGAGGAUCCGAGCGUUAUCCGGAUUUAUUGGGUUUAAAGGGAGCGUAGGCGGACGCUUAAGUCAGUUGUGAAAGUUUGCGGCUCAACCGUAAAAUUGCAGUUGAUACUGGGUUUCUUGAGUGCAGUAGAGGUAGGCGGAAUUCGUGGUGUAGCGGUGAAAUGCUUAGAUAUCACGAAGAACUCCGAUUGCGAAGGCAGCUUACUGGACUGUAACUGACGCUGAUGCUCGAAAGUGUGGGUAUCAAACAGGAUUAGAUACCCUGGUAGUCCACACAGUAAACGAUGAAUACUCGCUGUUUGCGAUAUACGGCAAGCGGCCAAGCGAAAGCAUUAAGUAUUCCACCUGGGGAGUACGCCGGCAACGGUGAAACUCAAAGGAAUUGACGGGGGCCC
rnacentral:rRNA from 1 species